GAUGAAGAACGUAGCGAAAUGCGAUACGUAAUGUGAAUUGCAGAAUUCAGUGAAUCAUCAAAUCUUUGAACGCAUAUUGCGCUCUCUGGUAUUCCGGAGAGCAUGCUUGUUUGAGUAUCAGUAAACACCUCAACUUCCAUAUCUUUUUUGAAAUGGGAGUUGGACUUGAGUGAUCCCAACGCUUUUCCUCACCGAAAAGUGGCGGGUUACUUGAAAUGCAGGUGCAGCUGGACUUUUCUCUGAGCUAUAAGCAUAUCUAUUUAGUCUGCCUAAAAAACAGAUUAUUACCUUUGCUGCAGCUAACAUAAAGGAGAUUAGUUCUUGUGCUGACUGAUGCAGGAUUCACAAAGACAGGCUUCGGCCGACUUUGUAAACUCGAUCUCAAAUCAAGUAAGACUACCCGCUGAACUUAAGCAUAUCAAUAAGCGGAGGA
rnacentral:misc_RNA from 1 species